ACCAUUGUAUUUCCUUUUUUCAUUUGGAUCCUAUCAACUUGGAGAGUGUCUAGAUUAAGACACUUCUCGUAUUCGGACUAUCAAGAUCGACUAAAUGAGAGUGUGGCUGACAUGGUAAAAGAACAAAUCAGCCACACUUUUCUGGACCCCUUUUUUUGGGGAAAGGAUAGUGGGUAGGGCUUAUCUUUCCCCCAGACUACUUUACUCACUGGAAAUCAUUCCACGUACAGGAACUGGGAAAAAAAAAGGGCUCGAACUACAGGGAUCUGAUACCUUCUUCCCUUGGUAUGAGAAGUUGUUUAUGUAGGCUGACAACCUUUCCUAGGUUGUUUCGAUCAGGCCAAAUAAUCGAUUAGUAGUAUGCCUGAGAUUGCCAGAAGAACUUCCCCCUCUUGAAAACUGACUAAUCAAACAAAGGGGGUAACUUUUUUUUAUGAGGGUAGGGAGUUUGGGUUGGUGUUCAGUGUACCGCACUUUGGGUACAAGAUCGGAAAUUCCAUUCUCUUUUUUACCAUCUAAAAUCGAAGAAAAGAAAGAAGGGCGAGAUAAACAAAUAAAGAGC
rnacentral:lncRNA from 1 species